rnacentral:rRNA from 1 species
UACGAAGGGGGCUAGCGUUGCUCGAAAUCACUGGGCGUAAAGGGUGCGUAGGCGGGUCUUUAAGUCAGGGGUGAAAUCCUGGAGCUCAACUCCAGAACUGCCUUUGAUACUGAAGAUCUUGAGUUCGGGAGAGGUGAGUGGAACUGCGAGUGUAGAGGUGAAAUUCGUAGAUUAUAGGGAAGAACACCGGUGGCGAAGGCGGCCCACUGGCCCGGUACUGACGCUGAGGCACGAAAGCGUGGGGAGCAAACAGG